rnacentral:rRNA from 1 species
AGCGAACGCUGGCGGCAGGCCUAACACAUGCAAGUCGAACGAACCUUUCGGGGUUAGUGGCGGACGGGUGAGUAACACGUGGGAACGUGCCUUUAGGUUCGGAAUAACUCAGGGAAACUUGUGCUAAUACCGAAUGUGCCCUUCGGGGGAAAGAUUAAUCGCCUUUAGAGCGGCCCGCGUCUGAUUAGCUAGUUGGUUGAGGUAAUGGCUCACCAAGGCGACGAUCAGUAGCUGGUCUGAGAGGAUGAUCAGCCACAUUGGGACUGAGACACGGCCCAAACUCCUACGGAAGGCAGCAGUGGGGAGUAUUGCGCAAUGGGCGAAAGCCUGACGCAGCCAUGCCGGGUGAAUGAUGAAGGUCUUAGGAUUGUAAAAUUCUUUCACCGGGGACGAUAAUGACGGUACCCGGAGAAGAAGCCCCGGCUAACUUCGUG